GGUCCCAUCGUCUAGUGGCCUAGGACACUGGCCUCUCACGUCAGAAACACGGGUUCGACUCCCGUUGGGACUA
rnacentral:tRNA from 4 species